GGGGCCUGGGGACACGGGGGUGCCACCCCGGGGCCACCUGGUUCCGUCCUGGGUUCUGGGCAGGCCAUGAGAGCCCUCAGCCUUCCUGGGUUCUGCCCUGGGUUCUGGCAGGCCAUGAGAGCCCUCAGCUCCCCUGAGUUCUGUCCUGGGUUCUGGCAGGCCAUGAGAGCCUUCAGCCUUCCUGGGUUCUGGGUGCCCUCAGCCUUCCUGGGUUCUGGGCAGGCCAUGAGAGCCCUCAGCCAUCUGGGUUCUCCUCUGGGUUCUGGGCAGGCCAUGAGCCCUCAGCUCUCCUGGGUUCUGGCAGGCCCUGGCAGCCCUCAGCUGUCCUGGGGCCUACCUUGGUUCUUCCCUGGGUUUUGGGCGGGCCCUGGGAGCCCUCAGCUGUCCUGGGGCCCACCUUUCCUCUUCCCUGGGUUCUCCUCUGGGUUCUGGGGGCCCUCAGCUCUCCUGGGAUCCACCUUUCCUCUCUCCUGGGUUCUGCAAAUCCUGUGAGCCCUCAGCUCUCCUGGGGCCCACCCUCCCUCUCUAAUGAGUUCUCCCCUGGGUUCUGGGCAGGCCCUGGGAGCCCUCAGCCCUCCUGAGGCACACCCUCUUUCUCUCCUGGGUUUUCCCUGGUUUCUGGGAAGGCCCUGGGAACCCUCAGCUCUCCUGACUUCUCCCCUGGGUUCUGGGCAGGUCCUGACUUCGUUCUGGGCAGGUCCUGGGUUCUCCCCUGGGUUCUGGGCAGGUCCUGACUUCGUUCUGGGCAAGUCCCGGGUUCUCCCCUGGGUUCUGGGCAGGCCCUGGGGGCCCUUGGCUGUUCUGGGGUGCUUUGCUCCCUUGUUUGGGGUUGUUGAAAGCCCCUUUGCAGCUCCUCUGCCCUGCACCUUUGUGGUGGGGCUGGCUGCAGUGGCAGGACUCUCCCUGCAGUGUGCAGCUGACUCCAAACUUUCAGCCCUGGAUCCUUCUGGAGGUGCCUCCUGCAGCCUGGAGCUCCUGGAAAGCAGCACUGAGGAGUUUUGUUCCCCUGGGAGCAGUGCUGGAGUCGGGAGGGAGAGCUCAGAACCUGCUCCUUGUGCUGUGCUUUUGUUUGAAUCUGUUCAGGGUAACUGCUCUGCAAACUGCAGCAGCUGGUUCCAAAAGCUGUGAAGCAAUCUGUGAUCAAAUAGAAAUAUGUAUGAAAUGCAGGUUUGGUUUAAAAUAAUUACUCAUCCUCUGAUAACUGGAAGCUGUAGCAGAAAAAAUGUGUAGUUAAAGCAGGCUUUAUGGCUGCCUAUGCAACACCUUCUAACUCUGUUAAAUGUAGCUCUGCUGAAUUCCAGCUUCCAAGAGUUUAUUCCACAUUUCACGGGCCUAAAAAUCAGGGAGCAGUCAGAGCUAAUGAGUGCUUAAAAAAUAGGAAAGGUAACCAAGUGUUCUGGAGGGAAGAUAUGGCACUGAGUAACAAAUUAGGGAAUAACAUCUGGUUGUAAAUAAUCUAAAUGCAGUUUUAAAAACUCUGCUUCUGUUCUAAUUGUUACCCUGAUUUUUAUCUUGUGAAUUAAUCCUGGGAAGGGCUCCCUCUUCCUCCCUGUUGGCUUUGGGUAUGGAAGAAAAGCCUUUCUCUUCUGUUAGUGACUUACCCUGGGAAUUGCUCCCUCUGAGGGAUGAGCUUUAUCCUGCCCACAGUUUCAGCCUCACUUCAGCUGCUCUGCCUUUAAACAAA